UUUAAUUGCUGUGGUAUUGUGACUAUACGAAGGUAUUGAAAUAAGGCUUUAAUUGGGUGCUAAGAGAAUGGUUUAACAGAGAUGGGCUUUUUUCUUAUUUAAAUUGGAAUUUGAUUUAAAAAUGAAGAAGUUUUUAUGAAAUUUUGGGACAAGAAGACCCUAUGAAUUUUUUAAAAAAAUUAUUUUUAGUUUUUGUUUGGAAGAAGAUGCGGAUAUUUUUUUGUUAAUUGGGGUGAUUUUUAAAUUUUGGUUAACUUUAAAAGUGUGUUAUUGGAUCCAGUAAUAGUGAUAGAUUGAAUAAAAUACUCUAGGGAUAACAGCGUUAUUACUUUGGAUAGUUCAUAUAGAUAAAGUAGAUUGCGACCUCGAUGUUGGAUUAGGAUACCUUUAUUGAUGAAGAAGUCGUGAAAGGGGGUUUGCUCAACUUUUAAAUUCCUACAUGAUCUGAGUUCAGACCGG
rnacentral:rRNA from 1 species